GACGAACGCUGGCGGCGUGCUUAACACAUGCAAGUCGAACGGUAAGGCCCUUCGGGGUACACGAGUGGCGAACGGGUGAGUAACACGUGGGUGAUCUGCCCUGCACUUCGGGAUAAGCCUGGGAAACUGGGUCUAAUACCGGAUAGGACUCCGGACUGCAUGGUCUGGGGUGGAAAGCUUUUACGGUGUGGGAUGGGCCCGCGGCCUAUCAGCUUGUUGGUGGGGUGAUGGCCUACCAAGGCGACGACGGGUAGCCGGCCUGAGAGGGUGACCGGCCACACUGGGACUGGGAUACGGCCCAGACUCCUACGGGAGGCAGCAGUGGGGAAUAUUGCACAAUGGGCGCAAGCCUGAUGCAGCGACGCCGCGUGAGGGAUGACGGCCUUCGGGUUGUAAACCUCUUUCAGCACCGACGAAGCGCAAGUGACGGUAGGUGCAGAAGAAGGACCGGCCAACUACGUGCCAGCAGCCGCCGUAA
rnacentral:rRNA from 1 species